rnacentral:tRNA from 2 species
GGUGAGGUGCUGGAGUGGUUUAUCAGGCCAGUCUCGAAAACUGGUGUAGUCGAAAGGCUACCGUGGGUUCAAAUCCCACCCUCACCGCCA